GACGGAGGAUGCAAUCGUUAUCCGGAAUGAUUGGGCGUAAAGCGUCCGCAGGUGGCAGUUCAAGUCUGCUGUCAAAGACCGGGGCUUAACUUCGGAAAGGCAGUGGAAACUGAACAGCUAGAGUAUGGUAGGGGCAGAGGGAAUUCCUGGUGUAGCGGUGAAAUGCGUAGAGAUCAGGAAGAACAUCGGUGGCGAAGGCGCUCUGCUGGACCAUAACUGACACUCAGGGACGAAAGCUAGGGGAGCGAAUGGG
rnacentral:rRNA from 1 species